rnacentral:rRNA from 1 species
UGAGGAACAUGACCUUCGGCGGGGGAUAGCCGGCCCAACGGCCGGGUAAUACCGCGUACGACCACAUGGGGACAUCCCUGAGUGGUGAAGCAGCAAUGCGCCGAUGGAGUGCCUCGCGGCCUAUCAGCUAGUUGGUGUGGGUAAUGGCCCACCAAGGCGACGACGGGUAGCCGGCCUGAGAGGGUGACCCGGCCACACUGGGACUGAGACACGGCCCAGACUCCGUACGGGAGNAG